GCGCCUGUAGCUCAGUUGGUAGAGCACACGACUUAUAAUCGUGCGGUCCCUGGUUCGAGUCCAGGCAGGCGCA
rnacentral:tRNA from 1 species